rnacentral:rRNA from 1 species
GUCGAACGAACUCUGGUAUUGAUUGGUGCUUGCAUCAUGAUUUACAUUUGAGUGAGUGGCGAACUGGUGAGUAACACGUGGGAAACCUGCCCAGAAGCGGGGGAUAACACCUGGAAACAGAUGCUAAUACCGCAUAACAACUUGGACCGCAUGGUCCGAGUUUGAAAGAUGGCUUCGGCUAUCACUUUUGGAUGGUCCCGCGGCGUAUUAGCUAGAUGGUGGGGUAACGGCUCACCAUGGCAAUGAUACGUAGCCGACCUGAGAGGGUAAUCGGCCACAUUGGGACUGAGACACGGCCCAAACUCCUACGGGAGGCAGCAGUAGGGAAUCUUCCACAAUGGACGAAAGUCUGAUGGAGCAACGCCGCGUGAGUGAAGAAGGGUUUCGGCUCGUAAAACUCUGUUGUUAAAGAAGAACAUAUCUGAGAGUAACUGUUCAGGUAUUGACGGUAUUUAACCAGAAAGCCACGGCUAACUACGUGCCAGCAGCCGCGGUAAUACGUAGGUGGCAAGCGUUGUCCGGAUUUAUUGGGCGUAAAGCGAGCGCAGGCGGUUUUUUAAGUCUGAUGUGAAAGCCUUCGGCUCAACCGAAGAAGUGCAUCGGAAACUGGGAAACUUGAGUGCAGAAGAGGACAGUGGAACUCCAUGUGUAGCGGUGAAAUGCGUAGAUAUAUGGAAGAACACCAGUGGCGAAGGCGGCUGUCUGGUCUGUAACUGACGCUGAGGCUCGAAAGUAUGGGUAGCAAACAGGAUUAGAUACCCUGGUAGUCCAUACCGUAAACGAUGAAUGCUAAGUGUUGGAGGGUUUCCGCCCUUCAGUGCUGCAGCUAACGCAUUAAGCAUUCCGCCUGGGGAGUACGGCCGCAAGGCUGAAACUCAAAGGAAUUGACGGGGGCCCGCACAAGCGGUGGAGCAUGUGGUUUAAUUCGAAGCUACGCGAAGAACCUUACCAGGUCUUGACAUACUAUGCAAAUCUAAGAGAUUAGACGUUCCCUUCGGGGACAUGGAUACAGGUGGUGCAUGGUUGUCGUCAGCUCGUGUCGUGAGAUGUUGGGUUAAGUCCCGCAACGAGCGCAACCCUUAUUAUCAGUUGCCAGCAUUAAGUUGGGCACUCUGGUGAGACUGCCGGUGACAAACCGGAGGAAGGUGGGGAUGACGUCAAAUCAUCAUGCCCCUUAUGACCUGGGCUACACACGUGCUACAAUGGAUGGUACAACGAGUUGCGAACUCGCGAGAGUAAGCUAAUCUCUUAAAGCCAUUCUCAGUUCGGAUUGUAGGCUGCAACUCGCCUACAUGAAGUCG